rfam:Drosophila virilis strain TSC#15010-1051.87 Ctg01_8431, whole genome shotgun sequence.
CAACCUCAACUCAUAUGGGACUACCCCCUGAAUUUAAGCAUAUUAAUUAGGGGAGGAAAAGAAACUAACAAGGAUUUUCUUAGUAGCGGCGAGCGAAAAGAAAUCAGUUCAGCACUAAGUCACUUUGUCUAUAUGGCAAAUGUGAGAUGCAGUGUACGGAACAUCAACAUUCUAGUAUGAGAAGUUAACGAUUUAAGUCCUUCUUAAAUGAGGCCAUUUACCCAUAGAGGGUGCCAGGCCCGUAUAACGUUAAUGAUUACUAGAUGGUGUUUCCAAAGAGUCGUGUUGCUUGAUAGUGCAGCACUAGGUG